rnacentral:lncRNA from 1 species
AUGUAUUUGUUGUUGUUAUUGGAACCAGGCAGGACUACUAUUUGUUGGCUGAGUGGAAUAUUGUUGUUGUUAUUGGAGACAGGCAGGAGUAUUGUUGUUGUUAUUGGAGACAGGAGUAUUGUUGUUGUUGUUAUUGGAGACAGGCAGGAGUAUUGUUGUUGUUGUUAUUGGAGACAGGCAGGAGUAUUAUUGUUGUUAUUAUUGGAGACAGGCAGGAGUAUUGUUGUUGUUGUUGUUAUUGGAGACAGGCAGGAGUGUUGUUGUUGUUGUUGUGAUUGGAGACAGGCAGGAGUGUUGUUGUUGUUGUGGAAUAGGCAGGGUAUUGUUGUUGUUGUUGGAGACAGGCAGGAGUAUUGUUGUUGUUGUUAUUGGAGACAGGAGUAUUAUUGUUGUUGUUAUAGGAGACAGGCAGGAGUAUUGUUGUUGUUGUUGGAGGCAGAGUGUGCUGCUGUUUGUGGAACCAGGGCAGGACUACUGUUGUUGUGGAGACAGGAGUAUUGUUGUUUGUUGUUGGAGACCAGCUAGGAAA